AACGAACGCUGGCGGCAUGCCUAACACAUGCAAGUCGAACGGGACCUUCGGGUCUAGUGGCGGACGGGUGAGUAACGCGUGGGAACGUGCCCUUUGGUUCGGAAUAGCCUCGGGAAACUGGGAGUAAUACCGGAUACGGUCGGAAGACGAAAGAUUUAUCGCCGAAGGAUCGGCCCGCGUUGGAUUAGGUAGUUGGUGGGGUAAAGGCCUACCAAGCCGACGAUCCAUAGCUGGUUUGAGAGGAUGAUCAGCCACACUGGGACUGAGACACGGCCCAGACUCCUACGGAGGCAGCAGUGGGGAAUAUUGGACAAUGGGCGAAAGCCUGAUCCAGCCAUGCCGCGUGAGUGAUGAAGGCCUUAGGGUUGUAAAGCUCUUUCGCCAGGGAAGAUAAUGACGGUACCUGGAAAAGAAGACCUCGGCUGACUCCGUGCCAGCAGCCGCGGUAA
rnacentral:rRNA from 1 species